rnacentral:rRNA from 1 species
GACGAACGCUGGCGGCGUGCUUAACACAUGCAAGUCGAACGGAAAGGCCCUGCUUUUGUGGGGUGCUCGAGUGGCGAACGGGUGAGUAACACGUGAGUAACCUGCCCUUAACUUUGGGAUAACGUCAAGAAACUGGGGCUAAUACCGGAUAGGAGCUCCAGCUGCAUGGUGGUGGUUGGAAAGGUUCAGCGGUUGGGGAUGGACUCGCGGGUUAUCAGCUUGUUGGUGUGGUAGUGGCAUACCAAGGCUGUGACGGAUAGCCGGCAUGAGAGGGUGGACGGGGACAUUGGGACUGAGAGACGGACCAGAAUCCUACGGGCGGCAGUGGUGGGGAGUAUGACACAAUGGGCGGAAGCCUGAUGCGGCAGCGCCGCGUGCGUGAUGACGGGCUUCGAGUUGUAAACCGCUUUCGCAGGUGAUGAAGCGUGAGUGACGGUAAUGAGUAAGGAAGCACCGGCUAACUACGUG